rnacentral:misc_RNA from 1 species
AAGUCGUAACAAGGUUUCCGUAGGUGAACCUGCGGAAGGAUCAUUACCGAAGUCAAGGCCCCUUCGGGGGCUAAACUUCCACCCUUUGUUUACCUUACCAUUGUUGCUUUGGCGGGCCGCCUUAGGCCACCGGCUCUCGAGCUGGUGCGUGCCCGCCAGAGACCCCCAAACCCAAACCAUAUUUAGUGUCGUCUGAAAACAAGUUUAAAUUAUUUAAAACUUUCAACAACGGAUCUCUUGGCUCUG